rnacentral:misc_RNA from 1 species
GCCCAACAAGGCUCCAAGCUCCAGAUUACUGCCAACGGCCUUCUACUUACUGAUCCUAGCGACCAACAAAUAUGGAAUGGUGAAAUCAUUCCAACCGCAGCUGUCUCGUACGGUGCUAUGCUGGACACUGGGAACUUCGUUCUUGUUGGUACCAAUUCUGCUGAUUACCUAUGGGAGAGCUUCAAAAAUCCCACAGACACCAUGCUGCCUUCUCAAACACUGGAAUCAGGUACCGUCUUGUUCUCCAGCCUCUCAGAAACCAACU